rnacentral:rRNA from 1 species
UUUAAUGAGAGUUUGAUCCUGGCUCAGGACGAACGCUGGCGGCGUGCCUAAUACAUGCAAGUAGAACGCUGAGGUUUGGUGUUUACACUAGACUGAUGAGUUGCGAACGGGUGAGUAACGGUAGGUAACCUGCCUCAUAGCGGGGGAUAACUAUUGGAAACGAUAGCUAAUACCGCAUAAGAGUAAUUAACACAUGUUGGUUAUUUAAAAGGAGCAAUUGCUUCACUGUGAGAUGGACCUGCGUU